rnacentral:tRNA from 1 species
CCUUCGCCCUCGUCGAGCAGGUCGACCGCGCCGAGCCGGACGGCGGGGUCGGCGACCACGGCGCGCAGCAGCCGUUCGAAGCGGCGGGCGAGGGU